rnacentral:misc_RNA from 1 species
AGCAGCAUGUGCGGGAUCCAG